GACGAACGCUGGCGGCGUGCCUAAUACAUGCAAGUAGGACGCAGUUGGUAACGGGUGAGUAACGCAUGGGUAACUGCCUAUUAUAGGGGGAUAACUAGUGGUAACGAUCGCUAAUACCGCAUACUAAUAGAUGGACCUGGUUUGUAUUAGCUAGUAGGUAGGGUAAUGGCCUACCUAGGCGAAGAUACAUAGCCGACCUGGGAGGGUGAUCGGCCACACUCGGACUGGGAGACGGCCCAGACUCCUACGGGAUGCAGCAGUAGGGAAUCUUCGGCAAUGGGGGGAACCCUGAACGAGCAACGCCGGGUGAGUGAACAAGGUCUUCGGAUCCUAAAGCUCUGUUGGUAAGUAAGCGGUACCUAACCAGAAAGGAACGGCUAACUACGUGCCAGCAGCCGCGGUAAUAC
rnacentral:rRNA from 1 species